UGGUUCUGGCAUCGAUGAAGAACGCAGCGAAAUGCGAUAAGUAAUGUGAAUUGCAGAAUUCAGUGAAUCAUCGAAUCUUUGAACGCACAUUGCGCCCGCCAGUACUCUGGCGGGCAUGCCUGUCCGAGCGUCAUUUCAACCCUCAGCGCCCCCCUUUCGG
rnacentral:rRNA from 3 species